rnacentral:lncRNA from 1 species
GAAAAGAAGAAAAAUGAUGAAAUUAUAGAAUUAACAGGCACUGAAAAGAAAGGCAGCCUGAGAUCAUGAGUCACUAAACCAAUUUUCCUGCUAGAGGGUGUAAUUCAGUGGUAUUUUUAUAAAUGUGAUUCAAGCUGUGGCUUUUGUGAAAUGUGCCACAUUAUAAAAAUGGGGGAGAGAAGGAGAUCAUAACUACUCAUUAGCAAGAUGACCCUACUUUCACUGGGACAUGCCAUGCAUUUGAGGUAGCAUAUGAAGGGCUGGUGAUAUUGGCAGUACAAAGAAUUUUACCAAUAGACAAAGAAUGCAGAAAAGGCAAGAGUUUAUUUACAUAAGGGCACACUGCCAAGGGGAACAAUGGGCAAGUUCCCAACAGAGGAAUUGUGCAGUUAGGGUUAGAGGCUUGGGAUUUUAUGAAGGUUUGAGGAUGUGGAAAAGGGGUCCAGGCAGCAAAUGUGAGUAUCUAAAGAAUGUCUUUUCUUGGGCCAUUUAAUACCUUGUACAUGUUCAAUGUUUAAAAUUAUGAUGACACAAUUUUGACAAGACCACUUUCUCUGUCUUACAGAAGGUCUCUAGCUUUAGAUAAGAAGGCAAUAAAAGAUCUAUACAUAUCUUCUGGAGAUUAUGGGUUCUGGACUCAUUGGGAGGAAUGAGUGAGCCUGACAUCAAAAGGUUUGUUGCUAUCUUAUGUCUCCAUAAGAAUGGCCUUAACUAGAGUUCAGCUGUUAAGAGUUUUAACCCUCUUGUUCCCAAUGGGCUGCCACUAAGGCCAGGCAAUCUCUUNNNNNNNNNNNNNNNNNNNCAGUGAGUGGCCAAUUUGGGCUUUGUGCUUAUAUGAUCUCACUGUAACUACUCAGCUACAUAUGCUCUUCCGGUUCAAAAGCAGCCAUGGAUGGUAUGUAGGUGCUUCCUCCUUUGGGAAUUAUACUCCAAGGGACCAAGCAUGUUCUCCUAGGAAAGUUAACUUGGAUAGCAGAAGCAAGAUGGAAAGAAGGGCAAUUCUGAGAAGACGACACCAACCUUAUUUUAUGACAACAUUAAAACAAAGCAGACUCAGCACUGAGUUUGUACACAGUGGUAAGUGGUGGCAUCAGCCUCCUGUACUAUGUCACAGGGAAUGGAGCAAAGCACAUGCAGGCAAUAGCCCAGAUGCUGUCCUAGCUGGGGUGUGGGGAGGCAGUCACGGUGGGCUUUGCACACACCUGCUUCCACCACUUCAUCACGUUUCCAGAACAAAAGCCACACAGCUCGAUCUUCCUGAGCUUCUUCCACUGGCCCUGGCCAUGGGGAGGGAAGCCUGGUAGGUCUCUUCUACUUGCACGAAGUUCUCGGUUGGGUCCUGUGUUUACAGGCAGGAAGGCCAUGUUGCUGGGGUGAUGCUGGAAUGUGGCAUUUCAGUUUGAGACCUGGUGUGGAAAGAGGAUGGGUUUUAGAAAAGACCAAAAGCACUUUUCUUUAUAAAGCAAAAAUGGUUUAUUUUUAUACUCUUUUGCCACUCAUCAUUAUUUAUUUCCAGAAUCCUUUCAUCAUCCCAAACAGACACUCUGUACCCAUAUGCAGUCAUCCUCCCAUGCCCUGAUUCUCCUAAUCCCUCACAGUUCUGCUCUCUGUCUCUGUGACUGCUAUGGCUUGUGUCUAGAUGUUCCCCAAAGCCUCAUGCAGUCUUUUUCAGAGGUGGAUGAAUCUGGAAUGUAUGACGCUGGGAUUAGGGGUGUGUGAUUACUAAACCACUACACACCAGUGAUUGGUUAGGCACCACCCUAAUCUUGGUAGUCCGGAUGGGAUAAAUGGGGCAGAAAGAAGCUGUUAAGGUCCCUUGUUGCUUUUUCUGUCUUCUACCAUCACGAACUGUUGCCACUCUGCCACCCUGCCUUGGAGCCAGCCAAUUAUGGACUGAAACCUCUACAAACUCUAAGCCAAAUAAACUUUUCCCCCUUUAACUUUUGAGUGUCAGGUAUUUUGUCUCAGCAAUGAGAGGAAAGUAACUAAGACAGCAAGACCCCAAGAAAGAAGGAAGCCUGGCUACCUUCAGCUGGAGCAGACCUUGGCAUCAUCAGCUGGCGCUGGUUUUAGGCUGACACCCACAGAAUGGAAGAGUGGUGGGGUCAGGAAGGCUUCCGCCAAGAUUUCAGAAGAAGGCCUGGGAGGCCAGGCAGUGGGCCCCUAAGAGGGCAGAGUGUGAAGCUGUGACUGUGAAGCCUAAGGUGCAGUGGAGACUCCAGAAGUUUGGAGAAGCCAGGAGUAUGGAUUGUCUGAGGAAAGCUGCAAGGAAGAGCAGAACCAGCCCAAAGGAGAAGCCAUGGGAGCUACAGCCAUCUGCAGUGCCACAGAGGUGGAGCCACUCAAGCCCCUUGGAGGUUAUAACUUGCGAUAGGCUGCCGGAAAUGCUGGACAUGGAACUGUGGGAUUUAAUGUUUUUCCUACUGGAUUUUGGUCUUGCUUUGGUCCCAUUCCUUUGUAUCCCCCUAUUUGUACCUUUUGGAAUGGUAAUGUCUAUGUGUGCCAGUGAAUGUUGGAGGUAUUUAACCUUCUUUUCAUUUGUACAGGGGUUUGCAGAUAAGAGUUUGCCUUACAUCUCAGAGGAGAUUUUGGACCUGGACUUUUCAGCAAUGCUGAAACUUUUAGGACUUUGGCAACUCUUAGAGAUGGACUAAAUGCUGUUUACAUAAAGGGAUGCACGAGUCUCUGAGGGGCCCAAAGGUAGAAUGCUAUGGCUUGUGUUUAGGUGUCCCCCCCUCCAAGGCUUCAUGUUUUUUCAGAGGUGGCUGAAUUUAGAGUGCAUGAUUGAUUCACGGUGGGGCUAGGGCCAAGGGCACUAGGAUUAAGGGCAUGAGUGCUACCCCCCUAAAUAGUCUGAAUAAAAUAAAAGGGGCAGAAAGAUGCUGUUAAGGUGCCUUGUUGCUUUUGCUACCCUGGGCAUGCCAUGUUUUUCCUCUGUGAUUCCUGUCUGCCAUCCACCCUGCCUUGGAGCCAACAGUUUACCGACCGAAACCUCUACAACCUCUACAAACUGAGCUAAAUAAAACUUCUCCCCUUUAAUGCUGAGUGUGAGGUAUUUUAUCUCAGCAAUGACAGAAAAGUAAAUAAGACAGUGACUCUGCCUAUUCCAGAGGCCUCAUAUGAGUGGACCCAUAUAAUAUUUAUUCUUUUAUAUCUGGCUUCUUUCACUUAGCAUUUUAGUAUUUUCCAUGUUUACCCAUGUUGUAGCAUGUAGCAGAGCUUUAUUAAUUUUUAUGACUGAAUACUACUUCAUUCUAUGGAUAUAUUACAUUUUACUCAUCACCUAGAUGUGGCUAUUGCUAACAGUGUUACAAUGAACGAGGGCAUAAGAAUUGAAUCCAUGUUAUCUGUUUGAGUCCCUGUUUUAAAAAUUUGGGGUGACAUAUUCCUGGACAUGAAACCUCUGGGUCACAUGGGGAUUACAUUAAAUAUCUUGGAGAAGCACUUGUAAGACUGAAGUUUAACUUAUUGGACACCAACAAGAUCAGAUAUUUAAACUUUUUUGACAGGCAUUCCUC